GGUUAAGCGACUAAGCGUACACGGUGGAUGCCCUGGCAGUCAGAGGCGAUGAAGGACGUGCUAAUCUGCGAAAAGCGUCGGUAAGGUGAUAUGAACCGUUAUAACCGGCGAUGUCCGAAUGGGGAAACCCAGUGUGAUUCGUCACACUAUCGUUAACUGAAUACAUAGGUUAACGAGGCGAACCGGGGGAACUGAAACAUCUAAGUACCCCGAGGAAAAGAAAUCAACCGAGAUUCCCCCAGUAGCGGCGAGCGAACGGGGAGCAGCCCAGAGUCUGAAUCAGCUUGUGUGUUAGUGGAACGGUCUGGAAAGUCCGACGGUACAGGGUGAUAGUCCCGUACACCAAAAUGCACAGGCUGUGAACUCGAAGAGUAGGGCGGGACACGUGGUAUCCUGUCUGAAUAUGGGGGGGGACCAUCCUCCAAGGCUAAAUACUCCUGACUGACCGAUAGUGAACCAGUACCGUGAGGGAAAGGCGAAAAGAACCCCGGCGAGGGGAGUGAAAAAAGAACCUGAAACCGUGUACGUACAAGCAGUGGGAGCACCUUCGGGUGUGACUGCGUACCUUUUGUAUAAUGGGUCAGCGACUUAUAUUCUGUAGCAAGGUUAACCGUAUAGGGGAGCCGCAGGGAAACCGAGUCUUAACUGGGCGUUAAGUUGCAGGGUAUAGACCCGAAACCCGGUGAUCUAGCCAUGGGCAGGUUGAAGGUUGGGUAACACUAACUGGAGGACCGAACCGACUAAUGUUGAAAAAAUUAGCGGAUGACUUGUGGCUGGGGGUGAAAGGCCAAUCAAACCGGGAGAUAGCUGGUUCUCCCCGAAAGCUAUUUAGGUAGCGCCUCGUGAAUUCAUCUUCGGGGGUAGAGCACUGUUUCGGCUAGGGGGUCAUCCCGACUUACCAACCCGAUGCAAACUACGAAUACCGAAGAAUGUUAUCACGGGAGACACACGGCGGGUGCUAACGUCCGUCGUGAAGAGGGAAACAACCCAGACCGCCAGCUAAGGUCCCAAAGUCAUGGUUAAGUGGGAAACGAUGUGGGAAGGCACAGACAGCCAGGAUGUUGGCUUAGAAGCAGCCAUCAUUUAAAGAAAGCGUAAUAGCUCACUGGUCGAGUCGGCCUGCGCGGAAGAUGUAACGGGGCUAAACCAUGCACCGAAGCUGCGGCAGCGACGCUUAUGCGUUGUUGGGUAGGGGAGCGUUCUGUAAGCCUGCGAAGGUGGCCUGUGAGGGUUGCUGGAGGUAUCAGAAGUGCGAAUGCUGACAUAAGUAACGAUAAAGCGGGUGAAAAGCCCGCUCGCCGGAAGACCAAGGGUUCCUGUCCAACGUUAAUCGGGGCAGGGUGAGUCGACCCCUAAGGCGAGGCCGAAAGGCGUAGUCGAUGGGAAACAGGUUAAUAUUCCUGUACUUGGUGUUACUGCGAAGGGGGGGGACGGAGAAGGCUAUGUUAGCCGGGCGACGGUUGUCCCGGUUUAAGCAUGUAGGCUGGUUAUCCAGGCAAAUCCGGAUAAUCAAGGCUGAGGUGUGAUGACGAGGCACUACGGUGCUGAAGUAACAAAUGCCCUGCUUCCAGGAAAAGCCUCUAAGCAUCAGGUAACAUCAAAUCGUACCCCAAACCGACACAGGUGGUCAGGUAGAGAAUACCAAGGCGCUUGAGAGAACUCGGGUGAAGGAACUAGGCAAAAUGGUGCCGUAACUUCGGGAGAAGGCACGCUGGUGUGUAGGUGAAGUCCCUGCGGAUGGAGCUGAGACCAGUCGAAGAUACCAGCUGGCUGCAACUGUUUAUUAAAAAACACAGCACUGUGCAAACACGAAAGUGGACGUAUACGGUGUGACGCCUGCCCGGUGCCGGAAGGUUAAUUGAUGGGGUUAUCCGUAAGGAGAAGCUCUUGAUCGAAGCCCCGGUAAACGGCGGCCGUAACUAUAACGGUCCUAAGGUAGCGAAAUUCCUUGUCGGGUAAGUUCCGACCUGCACGAAUGGCGUAAUGAUGGCCAGGCUGUCUCCACCCGAGACUCAGUGAAAUUGAACUCGCUGUGAAGAUGCAGUGUACCCGCGGCAAGACGGAAAGACCCCGUGAACCUUUACUAUAGCUUGACACUGAACAUUGAGCCUUGAUGUGUAGGAUAGGUGGGAGGCUUUGAAGCGUGGACGCCAGUCUGCGUGGAGCCAACCUUGAAAUACCACCCUUUAAUGUUUGAUGUUCUAACGUUGGCCCCUUAUCGGGGUUGCGGACAGUGUCUGGUGGGUAGUUUGACUGGGGCGGUCUCCUCCCAAAGCGUAACGGAGGAGCACGAAGGUUAGCUAAUCCUGGUCGGACAUCAGGAGGUUAGUGCAAUGGCAUAAGCUAGCUUGACUGCGAGCGUGACGGCGCGAGCAGGUGCGAAAGCAGGUCAUAGUGAUCCGGUGGUUCUGAAUGGAAGGGCCAUCGCUCAACGGAUAAAAGGUACUCCGGGGAUAACAGGCUGAUACCGCCCAAGAGUUCAUAUCGACGGCGGUGUUUGGCACCUCGAUGUCGGCUCAUCACAUCCUGGGGCUGAAGUAGGUCCCAAGGGUAUGGCUGUUCGCCAUUUAAAGUGGUACGCGAGCUGGGUUUAGAACGUCGUGAGACAGUUCGGUCCCUAUCUGCCGUGGGCGCUGGAGAAUUGAGGGGGGCUGCUCCUAGUACGAGAGGACCGGAGUGGACGCAUCACUGGUGUUCGGGUUGUCAUGCCAAUGGCACUGCCCGGUAGCUAAAUGCGGAAGAGAUAAGUGCUGAAAGCAUCUAAGCACGAAACUUGCCCCGAGAUGAGUUCUCCCUGAGACUUUAAGUCUCCUGAAGGAACGUUGAAGACGACGACGUUGAUAGGCCGGGUGUGUAAGCGCAGCGAUGCGUUGAGCUAACCGGUACUAAUGAACCGUGAGGCUUAACCUU
rnacentral:rRNA from 1 species